UUUCCGCCAGAGAACUACAAGUGAAAAACUUAAAACUCAAAGGACUUGACGGUGUCCCAUAUCGACCUAGAGGAGCCUGUCCUAUAAUCGAUACCCCCCGUUCCACCCAACCUCAACUAGCAAAUUUCAGCCUAUAUACCGCCGUCGACAGCCUACCCUAUGAAGGUCUAAAAGUAGACACAAUAGCCUCCCCCGCUAACACGUCAGGUCAAGGUGUAGCAAAUGUUGAGGAAGAGAUUGGCUACAUUUUUUAAUAUAAAAAAUCACGAAAAGCAUUAUGAAACCAUGCAUGAAGGUGAAUUUAGUAGUAAAAUAGACUAGAGUGCCUAUUUUAACAUCGCUCUGGGACGCGUACACACCGCCC
rnacentral:rRNA from 1 species